GGUGGUUCUCAGGUGAUGCACCCGAAAUCAGGCUCCUUCCUCUCUGGUUCUGGUGCGUCACCCGAAAACUGCA
rfam:Myotis lucifugus cont2.38289, whole genome shotgun sequence.